UUGUCCCUCGAUGGGGAAUAGCCAUGUUGCAACAGCAUGAAAGAAAAAUAAUACAGAAGAUAAUAGAUACAAUUUUUUUAUAAGAAAAGCAAAAAAUAGUGUGAGAACUCCACAGGUUAUCAACAUUAUGGACACAUAAUGAAGUAAAGUGACUGCAGCAGACAAAAUGAAUGAGAUAUUAAAGUGACUGGUGAAAUUGCCCUGGAGAUGUACUGUGUGUGUGUGUGGCAGUGUGGUGGAAAUGUGCUUCAUGUUAUAAUUGUUCAUUAUAAAGUCGGACAGCAGCAGAAAGGAAAGACCUGCGGAAUCUCUCCUUCUCACAGCGAGGGUGGAUCAGUCUGUCACUGAAUCUGCUCUCCAGGCAACAUUGGCUUCAUCACUGACGAUUCAUCUUGGAUGAAGUUGAUCUGCUGACUGGGGAACGUGUGUUAUGGAUCAGUAGUUUUCUCUGCACAUCAAGCAGGCAGAACAAGCAAGCAGCAGUCGAAACUAGCUUCAGAAGGCCAUGGACAAACAAGAAAAAACAGCCGGGACAGAACGGUGGAAUGAGCAUCAAGUAAUAUCGGGCAGCCGCGUAUUGUCAGAGACUUCUAAAGGUUUUUCCAGCCACUAACAACAGAUGAAGAAAAGAGGUUUGGCUAAAUGAAGAAUCUGUGGCUUUCUAACUACUGUCUGCUUUGAAUCAAUUAAAAAGCUGCUGAACAACUUAGAAACAAUGUCUUUAUUCAAACACACACAAACUGGGUCCUGCCUCCAGUCUGUUAGUGGGUUUCUUUUAGUCUCUCUCUCCGCUCUUAGUAAGCGCCUCUCUU